rnacentral:rRNA from 1 species
UACGUAGGGUGCGAGCGUUGUCCGGAAUUAUUGGGCGUAAAGAGCUUGUAGGUGGUUUGUCGCGUCUGCUGUGAAAAUCCGAGGCUCAACCUCGGACUUGCAGUGGGUACGGGCAGACUAGAGUGUGGUAGGGGAGACUGGAAUUCCUGGUGUAGCGGUGAAAUGCGCAGAUAGUCAGGAGGAACACCCGGUGGCGAAGGCG